rnacentral:rRNA from 1 species
UACGUAGGUGGCAAGCGUUGUCCGGAUUUAUUGGGCGUAAAGCGAGCGCAGGCGGUUCCUUAAGUCUGAUGUGAAAGCCCCCGGCUCAACCUGGGAGAGUCAUUGGAAGCUGGGGAACUUGAGUGCAAUAGAGGAGAGUGGAAUUCCAUGUGUAGCGGUGAAAUGCGUAGAUAUAUGGAGGAACACCAGUGGCGAAGGCGACUCUCUGGUCUGUAACUGACGCUGAGGCUCGAAAGCGUGGGUAGCAAACAGG